rnacentral:rRNA from 1 species
UACAGAGGUCUCAAGCGUUGUUCGGAUUCAUUGGGCGUAAAGGGUGCGUAGGCGGCGGGGUAAGUCGGAUGUGAAAUCCCGGGGCUCAACCCCGGAACUGCAUUCGAUACUGCCUUGCUCGAGUACUGGAGAGGAGACUGGAAUUUACGGUGUAGCAGUGAAAUGCGUAGAUAUCGUAAGGAAGACCAGUGGCGAAGGCGAGUCUCUGGACAGUUACUGACGCUGAGGCACGAAGGCCAGGGGAGCAAACGGG